AGCACCCAUGAAGACAGCUGCUGGGAAGCUCUGGAUUUAGAUGCUUUAAAUAAGAAACCUUGACAUGCCCACAGUGCCAGCACAGCCCAGAGCUGUUCUUCACCAUCCCAGGAAGAGCAGCAAUGACCACAACCACCACUCCCAUAUUUUAUUGGAGCCGAGGCUCUGCCCACCAUCCCACAUGAUCAGAACCAGUAAACUAGUUUAAAUCCCACAUUCACAACCCAGCCAGGUGUCUCAGGGCACAGAGUGGUGAUCCCAGUGAAGCCAAUUCUCCCACCAGUGGUUGAAUCUGAACAGAAGUUAUGUUCUGGCAGUGUUGUCUCCAAAGGAUUCUGAGUGGCUCCAGUUAAAAUCAGCUAUGUGGUGUCCUUCUCCUCCCAGGUGCCUGGGGGUUUCCUCUGGGGAGCUGAGUGUAGGGGUGAUCCCCUACGUGAUUCUUGCUCUGUCAAAAUGGGGUGUUGUUCCUGUAGGUUACCAGAGAAUUCUGUGCUUCUCCCCUGUGCCCAGAACAAGCUGGAGCUGGAGGAGAGGACAUUUAGGGAGGGGUUGGUGCAUGAUGCUGUGUCCCUGCAGUGUGUGCAGGACCCCAGGUUGCCAGCAGCGAACCUGCUGAGUGAGGAUGGCACACGGCCCUGGCUUGGCUGCCCCAAGGAGCACGGCAGGCAGCUGAGUGUGGAGCUGCACCGAGGGAGAGCCAGUCCCAUUGGCUGUGCUGAUGUUGGUACUUGCCUGUCCUCUGCCCCCAUGCAGGAGCCAGGGCCGUGCCCCACAAUGGGGUCAGCAGCUCUGAACCCCCUCACCCCUGUGCUUCUUGCUGCUCCCCAGGGAAGUAUGGCUGUGUCUUUCUGCAGAUUGAGGUUGGAUGUUCCUCAUGGCCCUGUGACCAGCCCUAUUUUUCACUGGUGCCCACUGUCACACUGAUGACACCAGCUGACUUGAAGCUGGACCAGAAUCGCUGCAGGGUUUGGAUAUUUAAGGAAGGUGGCCUGGUGUGGUUGACCCUAUCCUGUCCAUGCACAGUGUGGCCUGGAGCACUUUGAGGUGCUUCCUUGGAGCCCAGAGCCCCAGCUCCCACCAGCUUUGUCCUCCUGUGAGGCUGACACUCCCUGUCCCCAGGAGAUCCAGGGAGGAGGAGCUGCCUGUGGAAGCUGGAAGGGGCUGCCUGGAGCCCGGCCCACCUCAGCCACUCUGCCCAGAUGGUGCUGUUGGCAGAGUGGAACCAGGAGCUGAGGGCCAGAGCUGGCACAGGCACCCUGGGGGCUCACCCAGAGCUGCUGGCCAAGGAUGCAGGAGGUCCUGCAGUGCCAGGUGGGUGAAUCUGCACAGCUUUGUCCUGGGCUGGUCCCCAGCCACUGUGGGCUGUGGGGCAAGGGGGAACUCUGCCCCUCUGCUCUGCUCAGGUGACACCCCACCUGCAGAGCUGCCUCCAGCUCUGGAACCCCCAACAUC